GCAGCGUGCCUACCUGCAAUCUGUUUGAAAUAAUGCCUCCCAUCUGGUGUGCAGCUCAACGGUGUGGCUGUUUCUUCUGAUUCCGUCUUGAUUGGGGCAGUUUUCACUGGCAGGAAGCUCUCGGGAGACCAGGCUCACUGAAUUCCCUGUCACAGAGGGAGGGGAAAGGUUCACAGAAAUCCAAGAAGACCCUUCUGUCCCCGCCCCCCUUGUUUUACAUGUGGUAAGUGAUUGGCUGCCUGAAACUCUUUGGUGGUGUGCUUGCCUACGGGUUGUUUAAGGGAGUGGAGCCACUUUUCCUAAGUCUGUGCUGUGGGUGGGAUUCUGCAGUGAUGAACCUGCCCCGAGCUACCCAUGGUCCUCCACCUCUACAGAGAAGCCUUCUCUGACCAUCCCCUUGACGUGAGUAUUCCCUCCAUCUGCCCAGCCCCACCCCCACGCCCAUCCCACUUCCUUACUCUCUGCGGUCAACUGUAUUUCACAUCUACUUAUUUCGUUCUGUGUCUUUCCCCUAAAAUAUAAAUGGGAAGACGGAUUUUUUUUGUCUUUGAUCUAACUGCUAAAAUAUCUACACAGUAACAAGAACGUAAUUAACGCAGUGACUGUCAACUUGACAGACUCUAGAAUCACCAUGGAGACAAAGAUCUGGGGAUGUCAGUGAGGGAUUUUUCUAGUUAACUAGGUUAACUGGAAAAAAUAUUUUCUAGGUUAACUGAGGUGGGAAGAGAAAGUGAGUCCCACCAUUCAGCUCUCUUGGCUUCCUGACUGCAGAUGUGAGCAGCCACCUCAAGCUCUUGAGGUCAAGGCUUCCUCCUUUGAUGAACACCGAGUUAUAAGCUAAAACAAACACUUCUCCUUUUUCGUUUCUUUUGUGAGGUGGUUGAUGCUAACAAUUUGAAAACUAACCAAUACAGUAGUCAUUCGGUAAGCAAGUCUUGGAAAGGGCGUUGGAUAGAUGGAUGGAUGAUCACGUUUGCCAUAAAGUCUAAGUUGGAUGGAAUCUAACACACACAAUACAUGUUCAGGAGUAAGCAAUGUAUGAGCUAAUUUCUUAUUCCUCUAUCUGGUUCUUGGCAACCGUUAAACUGUCCUCUGUGCAGGCCAACACCACCAUUUCAAUCCUAGAAGGCACAGUUGAACAUAUCGACACUUUCUCGGGUGUCCAGGAUGACUCUAUAAGCCUUCGGAGUAAUCUAAAAGAAGAGAAUCUUCUAGCUUGGUUGAAAAGGAUGAAAAUGGCCAUUGAAUCGGUGUCUAUGUUGAAUCUUAAGACUUCCUUUGGAAGUGAACACAGUAUCUACCCUCAAUGGUUGGAUUUUGUAUACAAGUCAACAGUUUGUCUGUCAACUGUCCUUCUUAUACAUUUAAGAAGCAGGAUCAGAGCUGGAGAGUUGGCUCAGAAAUUAAGAACACUAGCUGAUCUUCAAAGGACCUGUGUCUGAUUCUCGGCAUCCACAUGAUAGUUCAGGAAAUCUAAUGCUGUCUUCUGACCCUACAAACACCAGGCAUACAUGUGGUGUGCAGACAUAUGUGCUGGCAAAAAACUAAUACACAUAAAAUAAUAAAAUGCACAGAGUGUCUUAGUCACUUUUCUAUUGCUGUGAAAAGACGCCAUGACCAAGGCAACCUACAGAAGAAAGCAUUGAAUUGGGGGCUUCCUUACAGUUUAGAGGGUGAGUUUAUGACCACUGUGGCAAGGAGCGUCAAGCAGGCAGAAACAGCAUUGAAACAGUAGCUGAGAACUGACAUCUGAGCCACUGUCACAGGGUGGAGAGAUAGAGAAUGCACUAACUGGAUAUGGCAUGAACUGUUGAAACCUCAAAGCCCAUCCCUCGUGACAUGUCUCCUUCAACAUAGGCACACCUCCUAAUCCUUCCCAAACAGUUUCACCAAUUGAGAACAAAGCAUUCAAAUACAUAAGCCUUGUAGGGGAGGGAGGGUCUCAUUCAAACCACCACAUAAAUCUAAGAGUAAUUUUAAAGAUCUAGUUGAACUUGACUUGGUGGAUCAUGCCUGAAAUCACAGCCCUUUGUAGAGGCUGUGGCAGGAAGACUGUCGCAAGCUCAAGGUCAGCCUGAGCCCCACAAUGAGUUCCAUGCCAGCUUGGCUACAGGGUCUCUGAAACUACCUCCAGACAAACAAUCAAAUAAACACAAUUCAGUUUUGAAGAGUAGGAAGAUUGUGAGUUUGAACCCAACUUGGGCUACACAGUAAGAUCUUGCCUCAAAAAAACGAACAAAAAAGCCAGUUGAAACAACCCAUUCAUGCUAAUUCCAUAAUUGCAAUUUUCUGUAUGUACCAGGGAUGGUUGGGCCACCAAGGUCCUCACUCAAAUAAGAAUCCCCACUUUGUUCUGUGGGGCCCCACGUGAUCAAUGGCUCUUGCAUGACACCCCUCUUCUCAUAAGAUGCCCAUACACGUAGAAGGCAGAUGUAUGGGAGGUUAACUCUCAAUGAUAGUGAGUCCUGUGCAGUGGUGACAGAAGGUGAGCUGCUGUUUAAGCCUCCUCACUCGGCAGCCCUUGGACUUGUAAGUCCAAGGUGUAUCCACUGGACACCAACCUGUGCCAGAGCUCUUUCUGCUCAGAUUUCUUGUCUAGGAAUUCCUGCCAACUCCCCUCCUGCUCUUCCUUCCCAAGUUCUUGUGAUUGUGAGCUUCUCCUCUCCUGUUUCUAUGCCCAAGUCUACAAAGAACGAAACAAACUGCUGUUCCUUGCGCCCUCAACUCUUCCAGUUAGGAUGUGGUUUUCAGCAAGCCUUUGCUUCUGCUUCUCCAUGGCUGCAGGAGAGAAAAUUGCUGGAGGGAAGGAUGUACUUAGAAACUACGCAGAUAUAUUUCAAACUGUACCCUCCCCAUGCUGAGUGAAAUCCUAUACAUGCUUACCCUGAGACCAUCUGUGCUGGUUAGAUAUAUGUCAGCUUAACACAAACUAUAGUCGUCAGAGAGUAGGGGACCUUGAGUAAGAAAAUGCCUCCCUAAGAUUGGGCUGUGAGCCAACCUGUAGAGCAUUUUCUUAAUUAGUGACUGAUGUAGGAAGAGCCCAGCCCAUUGUGGGUGGUGCCAUCCCUGGGCUGGUGGUCCUGGGUUUUAUAAGAAAGCAGGCUGAGCAAGCCAUGUGGAGCAAGCCAAUAAGCCGCACCCCUCCAAGGCCUCAGCACCAGCUCCUGCCUCCAGGUUCCUGCCCUGCUUGUGAAAAGAAAAUUAUACAAAUUCUAGGUUUAGAAAUAUAAAAAUUAAAAAAAAUAAACCCCAAAAGGCCACAGACCCAGGGCUAAGCCCUACAGCCAAGACUAGCAGGCCAUAAAGAUAAAGGAGCACAGGAAACACUGUUCAGGCAGGACUGACAAGCCAUAAAGAAAAGGAAUACAGGAUCCAGCUCAGGCUAUCGAGGACUGAGCCAUAAACCAUCCACAGACAUCCCCCCAGCUUACUCAGAGUCAUACUUUAACCAGAUGUCCUCCAGACCCUGAUAAGCCCCUACUUGUGCUUUUCAGCCAUUGUGUCCUACAGAGAGCACUCCAAGAAACCGGACAGCCCAAGCCUAACCAGAGGUGUUUCAAAUACAAAUGCUCCAUCAGUUUUGACAAACGUUUAAAAAUAAUGAGGACCUGAAGACCCUACCCUUCUCCUGAUUUAGUAGCUCUGUUCCAGGAACCAGGGGGCCAUAAAACCUUCUGGCGUCCCCUUAUCUCCUGGAGCCAUAAAACAAUCUUGUAACUUGUGGUACAUUCCCCUUUGACAUCCCCCAUCCCCUGGUGCUCACAGCCUCUGCCUUUAAAUACUCUUUUUCCCAGCCUCUCGGGGCCGACACCUCUGUCUCCUGCGUGGGAUACGUGUCGGCCCGGAGAUCUCUGUAAUAGGUCUCCGUAAUAAACCUCGCCUUUGCUUAUUACAUCCAAAAUGGUCUCUCUGUGUCUGGGGUCCGCGAUUUCCCAAGACUUGAGUAAGGGUCUCUCUGCGUGGGAUUUUUCAUAAUGGGGGCUCGUCCGGGAUCUUCGCGACCACCCCAGACUCUGAAGACCCCUUGGAGGUGAGUUAGAUGUUUGUCUGAGUGUUUCUGUGUGAGCGGCGCCGCAAUUGUCCGUCUGUGUCUGUCUCUGUUUUGGUUCCGCCGUGUGUGUGUAUAUGUGUGUCUUAGUACUGGUCAGUGUUAAGAGGGCAGAUGGGUAUUCCUGCCCUGUGGUAAGAGGGCAGAUGGGUAUUCCUGCCUUGUGCUGAGAGGGUGGAUGUGUAUUCCUGCCCUGUGGUAAGAGGGUGGAUGUGUAUUCCUGCCCUGUAGGAGAGUGGAUGUGUAUCCCCACUCAGUGCAGCUGCCUUUGUGGUCCGUGAGGACCCCCUGGCUGCGGAAGGGGGGACGCCCCGGGCCCGCAAGGCUGCAGCCCCUGGAAGACGUUCCACGGGCGGAGAACAGUCGGGAGAGCCCGGCUAUGGACAGUCAGGAGGACCUGACUCUGGUUUUCUGGAACAAAGGAGAUGGAAUGCUCCUUUUACCUAGGCGGGAGUGGACGAGGAAUCCCACUCCGUCAGAGGUCGAGUUCGGCUGCCUAUUUAAAUAUAGGCACGGACAAGUGUGCUUAGUCGUUAGGACAAGAGGACACUCUGGAAUCCUGUUGGGAGGUGGAAUCAGACGGUCCAUCUCAUCCCAAAAGCAGCUAAGGUUAAGCUGCAGUUUGGGCCACGUACUGAAGGUACCAGGCAUCUGUGAAAGUUGGUUAUAAGAUGCUUUGUCUUGAUAUUGUUUGUCUGGCUUGUUUUCUGUGGUAUUGUCGAGUGUCUUUUUGGCUUUUGUUUCGUUUUUGAAUUUUGGACUGACGACUGUGUUUGAAUUUGGACUGACGACUGUGUUUAAAAUCUUGGACUGACGACUGUGUUUGAAAUCAUGAAACUGUUUGCUUUGUUCGUCAUAGAGUUUUACUUGGUCCUCUUGGUGCUUAAGUUAAGAGUUAAAAAUAAUUUGCUUGAGAGAAAUUGUUUUCUGCCAGGGAGUUUUGUCUUUCUCUCUUGAGCCUCCUCCCCAAAGAGAGAUGCGCCUCCCUUUACUCCCCUUGAUCAGCCUAGCUGCUGUUAACAGUUGUGUAAACAGACAUUAACAAAAACCUUGAGGACAAAACUGCUCGUAAAUAAAAAAGUUCCCCAGAUUAGGCCUCCGGUAUGAAACAAGUAUAGUGAGUAAGAAACUUAAUUUUAUGGACCCCGCUCUAGUGUCGGUGUUUUGGUUGAUAGCCAACGUUAAUUUUUUAAAACAUAGUGUUUUAUCUGUGCUUGUGCUUGAAACACACAGUAGGGGGGAGCGAAAUUAGCUGCGGAGCUGCUGCAGCGAACAUGGGGACUUCUCAAGUCUCUCCCAAUUUUUCUGGCUCUUCAGGAGCUGUUUAAAAGAAAAAGGCUUAAGGUAAAAAGAAACACUAUAAAAAGAUUUCUUAGUGAAUUACUACACCUUGGUUUGCGAUCUCUGGGAAUCUCAUGGUGGACAGCUGAGAUAAGCUGGAAAAGGAUUUAAAUUUUGCUUAGAAACAAAGAAUCUUAAAGGUGGAGUUUCAGCCGGUAUGACACUUAGUGCAUAGCUGCCUAAAAGAUCAGAAAUGCUGUCAACAGGCUAUAAAAAAGGGACAGGCUGUGUUAAAAAUGCUACAUAAAGAAUAAUCUAAAAAGGCUGAGAGUGAGGUGGGAGAGGACUCUAAGAAAAACAAGAACAAGAAAGGAAUUUCUGCUUUUAGUGACCAGACCUUCAACUCUUGCUCACAGAAAGAGGGUGCUCAUUAAGAGAAGUUCUUUAAGGAGCCUGCCUUAUCUGCUGGCCCUAUUCCAAGAGAGGAGCCAGUCUCCAGCAUUAAAUUACUUUUCUCACUGGUCAUCAUUAGCAUGGAGAAUGCCUUUGAUCCUAUCCCCACAGCAGCCAGUUCCUGCCCCUGUGGUAGAAAUGUCCCAGGUUGGGGGGCAGAGAAGCCCCUAAAAUAAUUUCAAAAAAUCUUCAACAAACUGUAAAGAACUUUGUUUUGUUUUGCCAGUCAAAAUUUAAAAUUCAGGCUUUGGCUGUGGCUAAGGUCAGGAUUAAUGUUUUCUUUUCCAUGGGCCUUUAGCCCACUGAAAAAGUUUGGUGAAGGACUACUACUACAGUCCUGAUAUUCAGAGACAUGGAGAGAGCUAUAGUUUUUUUUUAUUAUUAAAGGUUGGUACUACUAUAGUAUUAACAAUCUCCUUAUUAGAUGUAAGAGACAAGAAGCCCCAGGUAAACUGGUUACAAUUCUUUUGUCAGCUGUUUAGUAUCGAACACCCAGGUUCUAACGUCUCUCCAUCCUUUUGUUAUUAGUUCUUACUGGAAGCCUAGUGCCAUUUAGAGGAUGAGUCUCUUGAGCGAUAAAGCCACUGAGCUGACACUAAAGGAAAGUACUCCUUAAGGGAAAAUCUAAGUCCAGAGAGACAGCCGGUAGCAGAUAGGCUGCCCCUCUGCUCACUUUUCUGUUUCACAGACACAAGGUCUUUUUGUCCCAAGAAAGCCUCCUGGCUUAGCUGUGUGACUAAAUGCUAUUUGCCCUCUUCAGUGGACCUCUAUUCUCAAGAUUCCCUUGUUUUCUCACCAUCCCAUUUGAGAUGCUUGUUAGUAACUGUUACAGGUCUUCUUUACCACCGAAGAAGGACGGAAUCCUACUAGAGGCCAGAAAAAAUGUUCCAGACACGAUGGAAGGCCCUCACUUCUGCCUGCUCUCUUCAAACGCCUAAAGGUAGGGAGUGCCAGGUCUGCUGCCAGGCUCCAAGGGUGGGUCUCUGAGGGGCUAGAAAAUGCCCCACCAAUCUGGCUAAGAUAAAGAAAAGAUAUGAAGAAAAAGUUACAAAAAUUUGAAGGGUUAAGUUAAGUUGCUGAGAGUUAGUGUAAGUUACAGAGAAAGUAAGGUUAAAAAGAAAGAGGAAGUUAAAGAGCUAAAGAGAGAUAAAAGACGAGAGAGGAACAUAUACUGGCCACAGUAGUUAGGGAACCUAGGAAGAUAGUACCUGACAACAGAAGAGAAUUCCUGGCUAAAGAUCAGUGUGCCUAAUACAAAGAAAAAGGACACUGGGUCAGGGACUGCCCAAGAAAGAACAAGAGGGGCCACUGGAGAGCUUCUUGGUCCUAGAGUGCUGGACAGGGACCCAAUGCUCUGUGCUCCUAUGCCCCCCAGUGGGCCAAUAUCCAAAGACCUUGAGUGCAAGGAGCUACUGGCAACGAACAAUACUUAUGGACUGCCCGAAGAACAGUGGACCUUGGCGUGGGCCGGGUAACCCACCCACUAAUUCAUGGUCAUCCCUGACUGCCCCUAUCCCUUGCUCAUGAGAAAACUGCUCUCCAAAUUGGCUUGCGUGGGCUGAAAUGGCUAGAUGAGGCCAUGUGUAUACAUAUCUAUAGACUGUGUAUGUAGAGCUUAAGACCUGUCUCAGUACACCAGUAACUGAUGCUGGGAGAUGAAUGGCUUAGUGCUUUUCUGCCUGGAACACACCGUUCCUGCCAGCCUGGCACUAACAAUUAUCACCCAAUCCAGGACUUAAACUGUGAUAGAGUGGCUGAUGUUUUGCCUUUGGAUAGAGUGUCCCUAAAGAUGGGACCACUGGUCAGCUGCCAUGGACUAGAUUCUCCACCGGUUGGGGACAAUCUGGUCACCUUGCUGCCCAAUCCGGACCUGGAGCCACCACAGCACGAGUGUCAAACACUGACAGAAACACAUGGGUGGAGGAAAGACCUGUGCGACUGGCUGAUUGACCCCUGCUGAAAGCCGAGGACCUUGUCCACAGACGGGAACAGUUCUCUUCAUGAAUGAAGGUCAGAGACAAGUGGGUGCUGCCAUGGUGGACAACACAAUGUCAUCUGGGAUGGCUGAACCUCUACCCCCCAGCACAUCAGCGCCACAGAUGUCUUUGCCAUCUCUUAGAUGCCCUGAUGAAGCCAACAACUGUGAGUACUAUUCAUUGCUCAGGAUAUCAGGAGGGAAGUGAUUCAGUGACAUGGGACAAUAACAAAACAGAUAAAGUGGCUCGGGAAAUGGCUAUACAAGAGCCUAUCCUGGUUACAGGCCUACAAGAAACAGCCACUGAGAACUGAGAUUAGACUAAGGGAUGGCCUCACUUAGAAUGUACAACAGAAGAAAAGGCCCAAGUUGUUUAAAAGAUAAAAGGACAAUGACACACUUGGGGAGAAAGCUAUACCCCCCCAAAGAACAAACAAAAGACUCACUUUGCCAAAUAAAAAAAUAGACUCAUUUAAGAGAUAAGAAGUUUGUCCAAAUAGUUAAAAUAUAUAUAAUAGACUUUAAGAUUUUAGCCAAGAGAGACAGUAAAAAAUAUAAGAUAUGUCAAUAAGUAAAUGCUUAACAAACAAACAGGACAAAGAGACCUAGAGAGUUUAACGAAAAGUCGAAGUGAACUUCACUGAGAUAAAACCAGAAAAUUAUGAUCACAAGUAUCUCCUAGUGCUUGUAGAUACUUUUUCAGGAAUAGAUAGAAGCUUUCCUCACCAAACGAGAGACGGCCUCUACAAUCAUCAAAAAGAUACUAGAAGAAAUCUUCCCCAGGUCUGGAAUGCCCAAGGUAAUCUGGUCUGACAGCGGCCCUACUUUCGUUGCCAAGGUAAGCCAGGGUGUGGCCAAGUAUUUAGAGGUCGAUUAGAAAUUACAUUAUAUUUACAGACCUCAAAGUUCAGGACAGGUAGAGUAAAUAAAUAGAACUCUAAAAGAGACCCUGAACAAAUUGACCAUAGAGACUGGCACAGACUGGGUGACACUCCUUCCCUCUUGCUCUCUUCAGAGCAAGAAAUACCCCUUCCAGAUUCAGCCUUACCCUCUUUGAGAUCUUAUAUGGGGCCUCAGCUCCCCUGACUGUAUUAGAUGAUGUUACUGAACCAACAUGUCAUAGUGCCAUAAUAAUAAUGAUUUGUGUGCCAGGCUAAAAGACCUACAGGUGAUACAGAAAAAAAUCUGCUCACAGCUGACAGCAGCCUAUGCCCCGGAGACCCCUGAGACAUCUCAUCAGUUCCAGGUCGGAAGCAGCUACACUGAGCCCAGACACUCGAGCCUCGCUAGAAAGGACCGUACCUGGUGCUGCUGACCACCCUGACAGCCGUCAAUUCUCAGCCCUCACCAGCCGUGUACUAGCUGUUAGGGCUGAGAGCUGGGACCUAGAGAGAAAUUCAGUCAUGUUUGUCCUGGGUUCCAUCGAGAUAGGUGUGGGGAUAGGCUUGAUUUCUAUUACAAAUAAUGUAACAUUACAUAUGUUAGUACUCCUAACACUUCUUGGGACUGUGCCUCAGGGAUCACAACCUAUAUAAGUUUAGAAGUUCUGAAAGACAGUCAUGACCUUGGUGUAUAGGUUCAGAUAGUGUCCAGAUUGGAAUCCUGAUGCUAAAGACUUAGUAAGAGACAAAAAAAAGGAGUUGAGAAUUACUUAGGGCUAGGGCUAUCUAGGUGCUACAAGGGCAGCACAAGGACAUCUGCUGUUGCCCUACAAUACAAGGCUUAUAGAGAAUUCAGAACUGCCAUUGACUCAGAUAUAAAAAGAGUAAAAGACUUUUUAGCUGACCUCCAAGAAUACCUAACUUCCCUCUCAGAGGUAGUCCUUCAAAAUAAGAAAAGAUCAGACCUGAUAUUCCUUAAAGAAGGAAUCUGUGUGCUACACUGAAAGAAAAAUGUUGCUUCUAUACAGACCAUUCAGGAGUAAUUAAAGACUCCAUAAAUAAACUUAAAAAAAGGUUAGACAAAAGACAGACAGACAGAAAAACACAUCAGAGAUAGUUCGAGAGCUAGUUUAGUAGAUCUCCCUGGAUGACUACCCUACUCUCUGCUACAGCUGGGCCAUUAUUAAUAAUUUUCUUGGUUUUAGUUUUUGGCUCCUGCGUGACAAACAGGUUAAUUGCUUUUGUUAAAAAUUGAGUGGGUGCUGUGCGGUUGAUGGUCCUGAGACAACAGUACCAGUCAGUUAGGACAACUGGUGAGACCAAAUAAGACUUGAUAUCAAAAUUCUAAGAUUAGAAUUAUUUAGUAGGAGAAGACGGGAAUGAAAAGAAAAUUAUACAAAUUCUAGGUUUAGAAAUAUAAAAAUUAAAAAAAAUAAACCCCAAAAGGCCACAGACCCAGGGCUAAGCCCUACAGCCAAGACUAGCAGGCCAUAAAGAUAAAGGAGCACAGGAAACACUGUUCAGGCAGGACUGACAAGCCAUAAAGAAAAGGAAUACAGGAUCCAGCUCAGGCUAUCGAGGACUGAGCCAUAAACCAUCCACAGACAUCCCCCCAGCUUACUCAGAGUCAUACUUUAACCAGAUGUCCUCCAGACCCUGAUAAGCCCCUACUUGUGCUUUUCAGCCAUUGUGUCCUACAGAGAGCACUCCAAGAAACCGGACAGCCCAAGCCUAACCAGAGGUGUUUCAAAUACAAAUGCUCCAUCAGUUUUGACAAACGUUUAAAAAUAAUGAGGACCUGAAGACCCUACCCUUCUCCUGAUUUAGUAGCUCUGUUCCAGGAACCAGGGGGCCAUAAAACCUUCUGGCGUCCCCUUAUCUCCUGGAGCCAUAAAACAAUCUUGUAACUUGUGGUACAUUCCCCUUUGACAUCCCCCAUCCCCUGGUGCUCACAGCCUCUGCCUUUAAAUACUCUUUUUCCCAGCCUCUCGGGGCCGACACCUCUGUCUCCUGCGUGGGAUACGUGUCGGCCCGGAGAUCUCUGUAAUAGGUCUCCGUAAUAAACCUCGCCUUUGCUUAUUACAUCCAAAA